rnacentral:lncRNA from 1 species
UUUUUCUUUUGUUUUUCUCUUAAGAGAGGGAAGCUAGAUACGUUUAUAAUGAAUUUGUUUAGACAAAAGGAAUUUAGAGGUUCCUUUUAAUUCUUUUUAACGUUCCUGUUAUUAGAACUGUCUCUCUGCUACUUUGUUGAAAUUCAGUGUCAGUGAUCAACAAGAAGGCCAAUUUGGUUGCUUUGUCUUGAAAACAUGUUCCCCAGAUGCUACCUCCUGUAAUUUUUGGUAGUUUAGGAUUAUGCUCAUAUAUGAGCUUUAGAGCAUACAUUUUUAAGAUUGCAAAACUAUAGUAGCUUGAGAUAAGGUAUUGCAAAUACAUGAGUUUCAAAUUUAUAAUAAUGUCUGCUUCAGUUUCUGUACAUACAGUCAAGUUUUUUGCUAGGGAAGGAGAGAAGGGAGUAAACUCUAGAUUUGGUUCAUUAUUCAAGCAAUUAUUAAAAAGAUUAUAAAAUCAUUACAAAUACUGCUUAUUUUAUUGGCUUUCCAUCACAGCCUAAAAUACUAUUAUAAAAUGCCGCGAUACAUGAUGUUAUUGAGGAGUAGAAUUUUAGGGGGAGCUGAAAGAUUUAAUAGAUACAGAAAUAUCCUCUCAUCAGUUGUCUUUUAUGUUAACUAUUCAUACAAAACUAUCUAGUGAUAUACAUGUGCUAGUAAGAAAAUUUAUUUUAUUAUUUAUUUGUUUGUUUAUUUAUUUAUUUUAUGAUAGACAUAGAGAGAGAGAGAGAAUGAGAGAGAGAGGCAGAGACACGGGCAGAGGGACAAGCAGGCUCCAUGCCGGGAGCCCAAGUAGGGACUCGAUCCCGGGACUCCAGGAUCGUGCCCUGGGCCAAAGGCAGGCACCAAACCGCUGAGCCACCCAGGGUUCCCCAAUAGUAAGAAAAUUUUAAAAGAUUCUAGAAGUUUGAAAUAUCUCAAUGAAAUCCUAAAUAAAAUGCAUGUAAUCUUGGAGUCUAAAAAAAAUUAAGGUACAUAGUUAGAAAAAUAAUUGAAGUAAUGGAAAUUUAACUGUCUUUUAUUACCUGACAAAUCUACAAAAUUUUCAUGUGUUUUUUCAGAAAACUCAAUGAUAGGUAGGUAGGUGGAUUGGUAGAGGAUAGAUAGAUGCACAAAUACAUGGAUACAUAGAUAUAGCAAGAGAGGAAGAUGGCAAUUGAUGGAAUGUUUUCAUGAAAUAAAAGUAUUUCAGAAAAAGUGCCUGAAAAAAACUUAUCCCUUUCUCAUAUCUAUUCCCUUCAUUCCUUCUGUCUUCAGUAUCUCCAUCACUUUUUUCCCCCAUAGGAUCAGAGUGAAAAGACACAUAAAAAAAUACAUGCUACUUAGUUCUUUAUAUAUCCAUACUCAUCAUUUACUUAAAUGCCUAGUAUAUAUAUUUAAAUCCUUUGUAAUCUGGUUUUAACCUAAGAUUGUUGAUUUAUGAAUUCAUACAAAAAGUAUGUUUUGUUGUUUAUUCAUAAACAACUCUAAGAGCUUGUAAUAUCUGUUAAAAAAUCAUAUCAAAUAAAAGUUCUUGCUAUUGUGGGAUUUAUGUUCUAACAAAGGAGACAAGCAAAAACCAAAUAUAAGUAAAUUAUAUAAUGUAGUAUUAGAAAAUGCUAUAUCUUUCUAUCUAUCUAUCUAUCUAUCUAUCUAUCUAUAAAUAGAAAAAUUGAGGGGAUCCAAAGGGAAAGAAGAUUAAAAUUUCAUCAUUUUGUUUAUAUUUAAGGUAGAAAUUUUACUAAUUAGAAAUGUGUCCAAUUGCAAACAUAGACAAGUUAGUGAUAAUGGCUAGAACAAAAAUAACUUUAAUCUUUGUGUGGAGGUAAAUAGCUGUUAGCAUUUGUAGUCCUGCUAAAUAAUCCCACUGGGAACAUAUCCAAAUGUUUCUAGUUUCAGCAAGUUGAUUUUUUAAAAAAACUUUUAAUUCCAGUAGAAUUAACAUAGAAUAUUAUUGGUUUCAGGAAUACAAUGUAGUGAUUCAACAAUUCUAUACAUUACUCAAUGCUAAUCAGAAGUGUACUCUUAAAAAAAAAAAAAAAAAAAAAAAAGAA